GGUGAACGCUAGCUACAGGCUUAACACAUGCAAGUCGAGGGGUAACGAGAGGAAAGCUUGCUUUCCUUGUCGACGACCGGCGCACGGGUGAGUAACGCGUAUCCAACCUGCCCCCAACUAGGGAAUAACCUUGCGAAAGUAAGACUAAUACCCUAUAAUUUCCUCAGAUGUCAUCUGACGAGGAAUAAAGAUUUAUCGGUUGUGGAUGGGGAUGCGUCUGAUUAGCUUGUUGGCGGGGUAACGGCCCACCAAGGCAACGAUAAGUAGGGGCUCUGAGAGGAAGGUCCACCACAUUGGAACUGAGACACGGUCCAAACUCCUACGGGAGGCAGCAGUGAGGAAUAUUGGUCAAUGGGCGGAAGCCUGAACCAGCCAAGUAGCGUGCAGGAUGACGGCCCUAUGGGUUGUAAACUGCUUUUAUACAGGAAUAAAGUUAGCCACGUGUGGUUAUUUGUAGGUACUGUAUGAAUAAGGACCGGCUAAUUCCGUGCCAGCAGCCGCCGUAA
rnacentral:rRNA from 1 species